rnacentral:rRNA from 1 species
UACGUAGGCAGCAAGCGUUGUUCGGAAUUACUGGGCGUAAAGAGUGUGUAGGCGGUCUGUCGCGUCUGCUGUGAAAAUCCGGGGCUCAACCCCGGACUUGCAGUGGGUACGGGCAGACUAGAGUGUGGUAGGGGAGACUGGAAUUCCUGGUGUAGCGGUGAAAUGCGCAGAUAUCAGGAGGAACACCGAUGGCGAAGGCAGGUCUCUGGGCCACUACUGACGCUGAGAAGCGAAAGCAUGGGGAGCGAACAGG